rnacentral:RNase_P_RNA from 1 species
CCAGCCGGCCGGGCGGCCGCGCCCUGCCAGAUGCCGAAAGGCGGCGGGCGAGGAAAGUCCGGGCUCCAUGGAGACACGGUGCCGGAUAACGUCCGGCGGGGGUGACCCUAGGGAAAGUGCCACAGAAAGCAAACCGCCCCGCCUGCCUUUCUCGCCGAAACGGCGACGGGAAAGCAGGCGGGGCAAGGGUGAAAGGGUGGGGUAAGAGCCCACCGCAUGGCUGGCAACAGGCAUGGCAUGGCAAACCCCACCGGGAGCAAGACCGAAUAGGGACGGCGCAGGGCUUCGGCCCGAUCCUGUUUCCGGGAUGCCGUCCGGGUAGGUUGCUAGAGGCGGGCAGCAAUGUCCGUCCCAGAGGAAUGGCCGUCACGGUGGCGACACCGUACAGAACCCGGCUUACAGGCCGGCUGGUUUU